AUUGAACGCUGGCGGUAUGCCUUACACAUGCAAGUCGAACGGUAACAGGUUAAGCUGACGAGUGGCGAACGGGUGAGUAAUAUAUCGGAACGUGCCCAGUCGUGGGGGAUAACGUAGCGAAAGCUACGCUAAUACCGCAUACGAUCUACGGAUGAAAGCGGGGGAUCGCAAGACCUCGCGCGAUUGGAGCGGCCGAUAUCAGAUUAGGUUGUUGGUGAGGUAAAAGCUCACCAAGCCUGCGAUCUGUAGCUGGUCUGAGAGGACGACCAGCCACACUGGAACUGAGACACGGUCCAGACUCCUACGGGAGGCAGCAGUGGGGAAUUUUGGACAAUGGACGCAAGUCUGAUCCAGCAAUGCCGCGUGCAGGACGAAGGCCUUCGGGUUGUAAACUGCUUCUGUACGGAACGAAACGGUGAGCUCUAAUACAGUUUGCUAAUGACGGUACCGUAAGAAUAAGCACCGGCUAACUACGUGCCAGCAGCCGCGGUAA
rnacentral:rRNA from 1 species